GACGAACGCUGGCGGCGUGCCUAAUACAUGCAAGUCGAGCGAAGUUUUUCUGGUGCUUGCACCGGAAAAACUUAGCGGCGAACGGGUGAGUAACACGUAAAGAACCUGCCUCAUAGACUGGGACAACUAUUGGAAACGAUAGCUAAUACCGGAUAAUAGCAUUAACUGCAUGGUUGAUGUUUAAAAGUUGGUUUUGCUAACACUAUGAGAUGGCUUUGCGGUGCAUUAGCUAGUUGGUGGGGUAAAGGCCUACCAAGGCGACGAUGCAUAGCCGACCUGAGAGGGUGAUCGGCCACACUGGGACUGAGACACGGCCCAGACUCCUACGGGAGGCAGCAGUAGGGAAUCUUCCGCAAUGGGCGAAAGCCUGACGGAGCAACGCCGCGUGAGUGAAGAAGGAUUUCGGUUCGUAAAGCUCUGUUGUCAGGGAAGAAUGAUUGUGUAGUAACUAUACACAGUAGAGACGGUACCUAACCAGAAAGCCACGGCUAACUACGUG
rnacentral:rRNA from 1 species